UUUUGGUAGCAUCAAAGAAACGAGACAAAAGGUGUCGCUAUUGCAAAAAGUUAGGUCACGUCAAAGCAGAUUGUUAUAAACUGCAAAAUAAAAGAGCUGCUGAGAGUAACGAGGAAGAUGUAGCUGGUGCUAAUUUGGUCGAUGAAGGUGGUGAUGAUUUCUUGUUAGUGUCAACGAGCGAUAACUCCAAGCUUACGUCUGAGUGGAU
rnacentral:lncRNA from 1 species